GAGUUGGACACGAUUACGCCUGAGCAGGUGGAAUGGCAGCCAUAUGGCGCGGGUGAGAGCUUGGGGUACACCGCAGACUUCCGCCUCAACCCGAUGUGCUUGCGGGAUAAGGAUCUCUGGCUUAUGCGGUGCCCACUGAUAUGCAACUGGGCGGUUGAGUUUCAUUUGCCGCAUCGCGUGUAUCGUCAGUUUGGUCUUUUCCAGCCUCACCCGCCGGAUUGGGUGGACACGGAUAAAGCACUUCAUAGGUUGGAUAGGAGAAGGCAACGGAAGAUAAAGGACUGGGCCAAGCAUCAUUAUGCGUAUGUU